CACGUAGGGCGCGAGCGUUGUCCGGAAUUAUUGGGCGUAAAGAGCUCGUAGGCGGCCUGUUGCGUCCGCUGUGAAAGCCCGGGGCUUAACCCCGGGUCGGCAGUGGAUACGGGCAGGCUAGAGGUAGGUAGGGGAGAAUGGAAUUCCCGGUGUAGCGGUGAAAUGCGCAGAUAUCGGGAGGAACACCGGUGGCGAAGGCGGUUCUCUGGGCCUUACCUGACGCUGAGACGCGAAAGCGUGGGGAGCGAACCGG
rnacentral:rRNA from 1 species